rnacentral:rRNA from 1 species
ACGGCGAGUGAAGCGGCAAAAGCUCAAAUUUGAAAUCCUCCGGGAAUUGUAAUUUGAAGGUGGGGUUGAAUAGGUCUAGAUACUUUAAGUCCAUUGGAAAAUGGCGCCAUGGAGGGUGAUAGCCCCGUAAAAGUAUUCAAACCUUCUUUUCUUCCCCUCCUAAGAGUCGAGUUGUUUGGGAAUGCAGCUCUAAGUGGGUGGUAAAUUCCAUCUAAAGCUAAAUAUUGGCGAGAGACCGAUAGCGAACAAGUACAGUGAUGGAAAGAUGAAAAGCACUUUGAAAAGAGAGUGAAAAAGUACGUGAAAUUGUUGAAAGGGAAGGGCUUGCAAGCAGACACAACCUCGGUUGGGCCAGCAUCGGAGUGGGGGGAGACAAAAAAGGUUAGGAAUGUAGCUCCCUUUAAAGAAUUAUAUCCUARCCCUAUAUCUCC